CACGGACUUCGGUCUGGUGGCGAGUGGCGAACGGGUGAGUAAUGUAUCGGAACGUGCCUAGUAGCGGGGGAUAACUACGCGAAAGCGUAGCUAAUACCGCAUACGCCCUACGGGGGAAAGCAGGGGAUCGCAAGACCUUGCACUAUUAGAGCGGCCGAUAUCGGAUUAGCUAGUUGGUGGGGUAACGGCUCACCAAGGCGACGAUCCGUAGCUGGUUUGAGAGGACGACCAGCCACACUGGGACUGAGACACGGCCCAGACUCCUACGGGAGGCAGCAGUGGGGAAUUUUGGACAAUGGGGGAAACCCUGAUCCAGCCAUCCCGCGUGUGCGAUGAAGGCCUUCGGGUUGUAAAGCACUUUUGGCAGGAAAGAAACGUCAUGGGCUAAUACCCCGUGAAACUGACGGUACCUGCAGAAUAAGCACCGGCUAACUACGUGCCAGCAGCCGCGGUAAUACGUAGGGUGCAAGCGUUAAUCGGAAUUACUGGGCGUAAAGCGUGCGCAGGCGGUUCGGAAAGAAAGAUGUGAAAUCCCAGAGCUUAACUUUGGAACUGCAUUUUUAACUACCGGGCUAGAGUGU
rnacentral:rRNA from 1 species